rnacentral:rRNA from 1 species
UGGCCCCUACGGGGGGCAGCAGUAGGGAAUCUUCCACAAUGGACGAAAGUCUGAUGGAGCAACGCCGCGUGAGUGAAGAAGGGUUUCGGCUCGGAAAGCUCUGUUGGUAGUGAAGAAAGAUAGAGGUAGUAACUGGCCUUUAUUUGACGGUAAUUACUUAGAAAGUCAAGGCUAACUACGUGCCAGCAGCCGCGGUAAUACGUAGGUGGCAAGCGGUGUCCGGAUUUAUUGGGCGUAAAGCG